rnacentral:sRNA from 26 species
UUUUAGCCCCGAUAGUAGUGGAAAUCCUUUUUUGAGGUUUUUCUCCGAAAAAAAGAUUGUAACGGAUAGCGGGAAAUAGC